AUGUGUGUUCCAAAAGACCAAGGAUAUAUGGGCUUUAGAGAUAUAAAUUGUUAUAAUCUGGCAUUGUUAGCUAAACAAGCUUGACGUCUUUUGGAUAAUCCUGAUUCCUUAUGUGCAGAAAUCUUGAGAGCCAAGUAUUUCCCGGAGGGUGCUUUGAUGAACGCAAUUUUAAGAAAGGGCUCCUCUUUUACUUGGCAAACAUUAUGGCGGGAGUCAACUCUCUCAGAAAUGGUUAUAUAUGGCGAGUUAGAAAUAGACAAACUAUUGAUAUUUGGCGAAAUGCUUAGAUCCCAAAUUGUGCAAAUAGGAAAAUUAUUACUCCUAGACGAGGGCACCUUCUGUCAAAGGUUUAUUAUGAUCCUAUUGAUCCCGUCAUGA
rnacentral:rRNA from 1 species